AUCGUUCACGUUGCAUUAGAGUAUAAGCGAGAUGCUCUUACGCCAGAAAGAUAGUAUAAGCUAGUUCUCACUAGCCGGGCCCUUAUUCCUACUACAGGGCUAUCUCAGAACAUUCUUUAUUUGCUUUUUCAACAACGAAAUGGAGCUGGGCAACAUGACUGAUGGGAAUGUUCACUACUGCUUGGCCCGGACUCCCACGGGGGCCAGCAGUGGGGACUCGGACAAUGGGGAAAGCCCGAUUCAUCAAUAUCAUGUGAGUGAAGAAGGGCAAUGCCGCUUGUAAAGCUUUUUCGUCGAGUGCGCAAUCAUGAGAGGACUCAAGGAAGAAGCCCUGGCUAACUCCUUGCCAGCAGCCGCGGUAAGAAGGGGGGGGGGGGGUCUUCGGAAUGACUGGGCGUAAAGCGCACGUAGACGGUGAAUCGGGUUGAAAGUGAAAGUUGCCAAAAAGUGAUGGAAUGCUCUCGGAACCAAUUCACUACAGUGAACUAUCAUUAGGGUUAAGGGGAGUAGAAGUAGAGCAUCCUUACUGCC
rnacentral:ncRNA from 1 species